CUGAGCUUAAGGAGCUUUCAGAGACCAAGGACCAUCUCCACUUCCUGCAGACUUUCUCCUCUCGCUGUGUCUUUCCUGCUGAUGGAGACUCGCUGAGCUUCACUGUCACCGCUGAUUUCUCAUCUGAGGACCUGAGAAAGGAGCUCUCAGGUCUGGCAAAGAAUGUGGAGAAGAUCAGCCAGGGGGACAUCAAGAGAAGGACUCCAUCAGUGGUGAAGAUAAGCAAAUUGGAGGACUGCGUCAGAACUCUGACUACUUGAGGACCACCUGAACAUUUCAGUGAGUGCAGCCUCAGAGUAAAACACACUUUAUAAAUUAUGAAUUACGUACGUUUACACAUAAAGACAGCGAUUUGUUUAAACACAAACUAAGGUCAAGCAGCCAAGAGCACAGGGUCCAUCACAGCCGUCCACCACAUUA